AACAGGCCAAGGAAAGAACCUCAAUGGCGCCCACCUGGGUCCAUGCUAGCACACUUGGCCCAGGUCAGAACGAUGAUCCCCACCAAUGUCUCAGUCCCUGGAGAAGCCUCCCCUCUCACCAAGAUGCCACCAGAGCCCAAUAGCACAAACAGGCUGGACAACAGUAAAAGAAGGCUGAGGCCCACCCACCUCCAAGAGACAUUCAUGGACGAAGCUCAGAUUCCCAGAAGUACCCUCCUUACUCUCCAGGCCCUUCUCUAUAUUUCAGCUGAUUCCAGAAAUGAAUGAGGAAACAUGUAGCCUACUUUAUACUAGUGGCCAUCUUACAUUCGUGAUGAAGCCAAUACCGCUAUCAGAAGAGAGAGACAGAAAGAAACUAGAUCCUCGAUUACUUCAUCUAACUGAUGGAUCAACCAAUCCUGACACACACUUCCAAGCAGUAAGGCAAUAAAUGUACUUACUCUCAAA
rnacentral:lncRNA from 1 species